ACUGGUCCUCGGUGGUGGCUUACGGAUGAUUGCCGUGGGCUUCGAUCGAAGAUCCAU
ncrna:unclassified sequences Actino-pnp RNA